UACGUAGGGUGCAAGCGUUGUCCGGAAUUAUUGGGCGUAAAGGGCUCGUAGGCGGUCUGUCGCGUCUGCUGUGAAAACUCAGGGCUUAACCCUGAGCUUGCAGUGGGUACGGGCAGACUAGAGUGCGGUAGGGGAGACUGGAAUUCCCGGUGUAGCGGUGAAAUGCGCAGAUAUCGGGAGGAACACCAGUGGCGAAGGCGGUACUCUGGGCCGGAACUGACGCUGAGACGCGAAAGCGUGGGGAGCAAACAGG
rnacentral:rRNA from 1 species